rnacentral:tRNA from 1 species
GGGGUCGUAGCUCAGCCCGGUUAGAGCGCCGGCCUGUCACGUCGGAGGGCGCGGGUUCAAGUCCCGUCGGCCCCGCCA